CGGAGAAGGAUAUUUUUUACAUAC
rnacentral:miRNA from 1 species